CUUCGGGCGCCUCGUCACCAAUCUGGAUGCAAUGCCUUGACUGGCUAAGCAGUCUCCCUCUGGGAGCUGCGCAACCUUUUUGAAAGUCUAUACUUUAUGCCUACGAUAUGUUGUAAAACCAAUACAACCCAUAGCGUUGGAUCCCUUGGCACGUCAUUCGAUGAAGACCGUUGCAAAAUGCGAUAAGUGGUGUGAUAUGCAAGUCCAAAACUUAUACGUGAACCAUCGAAUUGUUGAACGCACUGCAUCGAUCCUUACCCAGGAACGAUACGCCCCAUUGAGCGUCAUUAUGUCUUCGAGGCCUCACCUUGCGUGUUGCCCGGGUUCGGGACUCACGGUCGCGAGACCGCGUCUCCUCAGAUGCAUUCGCUGUGCAAGACUGUACACUGGCGUCCUUGUCAUGAGUGUCGAGGUACAAGAGUGAGACUUGCGCUGGAUCGCCGUUCGCGGCCGAUCAGACCCGCGUCUCCCCUUCCAGGGGGGUUCGCAACCUACCGACAUGACCUCACGGGGGUGGGACGACCCGCUAGACUUAAGCAUAUUAAUCAGCGGAGGAAAAGAAACUAACAAGGAUUCCCCUAGUAACUGCGAGUGAAGAGGGAUGAGCUCAAUGUGUGAAUCGGCUUGGGAUUAGCUCCCGGAUCGAGUUGUGCACUAUAGACGGCGGAUCAGCGUUUGGAUGCUUAUGGUGUAUGUCCGAUGGAAUUCGGUGCCAUAGAGGGUCAUAGUCCUGUACUUGCCUAAUAGCAUCUGCGUCUUUGACCGACGUUCUGCGAGUCGCGUAGUUUUGUAUUGCUGCGCUAAUUGGGAGGUAGAGCCCUUCUAAAGCUAAAUAUUAUGACGUGACCGAUAGCGAACAAGUACCGCGAGGGAAAGAUGAAAAGCAAAUAUGUAAAAUAUGUUGAAACAGAAGUGAAAGCGCUAUGGGGAUAAGGGCUGGGGAUUGCUUGUGCCGAUUGCUCGUGCUUCAGUGCUGAGCUCCCGGACGGCAUGCGUCGGUUCGGAUGGAGAGAACAGGCCGCUUGGAAUUCGGCUGGGUCCGCCCAGUGUUGUAGCCUCGCGCGCAGUGGAG
rnacentral:rRNA from 1 species